GGAGUUGUGGCUUAGAGGUAGAGCACUCACCUAGCACGUGUGAUGCCCUGGGUUUGAGCCUCAGCACCUAUA
rfam:Ictidomys tridecemlineatus contig059798, whole genome shotgun sequence.